GGGUUGUGAGGUUAAGCGACUAAGCGUACACGGUGGAUGCCCUGGCAGUCAGAGGCGAUGAAGGACGUGCUAAUCUGCGAUAAGCGUCGGUAAGGUGAUAUGAACCGUUAUAACCGGCGAUUUCCGAAUGGGGAAACCCAGUGUGUUUCGACACACUAUCAUUAACUGAAUCCAUAGGUUAAUGAGGCGAACCGGGGGAACUGAAACAUCUAAGUACC
rnacentral:rRNA from 1 species